ACGCAGUAGCAAUACUGAGUGGCAAACGGGUGAGUAUAAUGUGGGAAUCUGCCUUUUGGUUCGGAAUAACACGAGGAAACCUGUGCUAAUACCGGAUAAGCCCUUACGGGGAAAGUUUUAAUGCCAAAAGAUGAGCCCGCACUUGAUUAGCUAGUUGGUAAGGUAAUGGCUUACCAAGGCAACGAUCAAUAGCUGUUCUUAGAGGAAGACCAGCCACAUUGGGACUGAGACACGGCCCAAACUCCUACGGGAGGCAGCAGUGGGGAAUCUUGCACAAUGGGGGAAACCCUGAUGCAGCGAUGCCGCGUGAGUGAAGAAGGCCCUUGGGUUGUAAAACUCUUUCGUCGGGGAAGAAAAUGACUGUACCCGAAUAAGAAGGUCCGGCUAACUUCGUGCCAGCAGCCGCGGUAAUACGAAGGGACCUAGCGUAGUUCGGAAUUACUGGGCUUAAAGAGUUCGUAGGUGGUUAAAAAAGUUGAUGGUGAAAUCCCAAGGCUCAACCUUGGAACUGCCAUCAAAACUUUUUAGCUAGAGUGUGAUAGAGGAAAGUGGAAUUUCUAGUGUAGAGGUGAAAUUCGUAGAUAUUAGAAAGAACAUCAAAAGCGAAGGCAACUUUCUGGAUCAUUACUGACACUGAGGAACGAAAGCAUGGGUAGCGAAGAGGAUUAGAUACCCUCGUAGUCCAUGCCGUAAACGAUGUGUGCUAGACGUUGGAAACUUAGUUUUCAGUGUCGCAGCGAAAGCAUUAAGCACACCGCCUGGGGAGUACGACCGCAAGGUUAAAACUCAAAUGAAUUGACGGGGACCCGCACAAGUAGUGGAGCAU
rnacentral:rRNA from 1 species